UACGGAGGGUGCAAGCGUUAUCCGGAUUCACUGGGUUUAAAGGGUGCGUAGGUGGGUCUGUAAGUCAGUGGUGAAAUCUCGGAGCUUAACUCCGAAACUGCAUUCGAUACUGCCGUGCUUGAGGACUGGAGAGGAGACUGGAAUUUACGGUGUAGCGGUGAAAUGCGUAGAUAUCGUAAGGAAGACCAGUGGCGAAGGCGGGUCUCUGGACAGUUCCUGACGCUGAGGCACGAAGGCCAGGGGGAGCAAACGGG
rnacentral:rRNA from 1 species